GUUUGAUGCUACCAAGCGGACUCUACCGGCACUGAUUCUGCACUUUCAACUUAAAACACAGCCGCCAUCCACGGGAUUUUACUGGGUAACUGGAUAAGAGAAAAUGCAUGCAAGAAAAUUCGUUUGAAAGAGGAGGAGGAGGAGGAGGAUACGAACUGAGAAGAAUUGAUCGAUCUAGUUGUAUGCCACGAGAAGACAUGCGCGAACGUGAAAGCUCUCUGCGGUUGUCUAUCAGUCUUCUCUCUCUCUCUAUCUGUUACACACACACACACACAUACAUUUUCUAUAAAUAUAUAUAUAUAUAGAUUCAUCUCUUAUUCAGUUACUCUCACCAUGAACAACCAUAAACCACACACAGCAUCUGGAGUUAAGCGAGAUAGAUUAG